rnacentral:rRNA from 1 species
UACGAAGGGGGCGAGCGUUGCUCGGAAUUACUGGGCGUAAAGGGCGCGCAGGCGGCUCUUCAAGUCAGGCGUGAAAGCCCCGGGCUUAACCUGGGAAUUGCGCUUGGGACUGGAGGGCUUGAGUACGGGAGAGGAGAGUGGAAUUCCCAGUGUAGAGGUGAAAUUCGUAGAUAUUGGGAAGAACACCGGUGGCGAAGGCGGCUCUCUGGACCGUAACUGACGCUGAGGCGCGAAAGCGUGGGGAGCAAACAGG